GGCAAUCCCCAUCAGUCACCCUUCCCACCCAGAGGGAAAAGGGAACUUGGGUUUUCCAUAUAAACUCCUGUCUCGUCACUGUGCCUGCAGCAGACCCCGACAUUCAUCUCAAAAUCCAUUUCAGCUAACAGAGAAGCAUGGAGUGCCCAAGGCCAGGAUGGCUGCCAUGCAUCAUCCCAGUUGGACAAGAGGUGUGCCAUGGAGCCCUUCUGUCCACUCCUACUGGCAAGUUUUAGCUUGUCACUCGCCAGAGCUGGCAAGGGCAACGACACCACCCCAGCAGAGAGCAAUUGGACCAGCACAACUGCAGGUAAGGGCUCCUACCUUGAUCCCAGCUGCUCCUGCUGCUGCCUCACACACUGCCACCUCCGGAGCACUCGGACUGCUGGGGAAGAGGGAUUCAGUGAAUCUUCCAGUGUGCCACCUGGGGAGCUGCGUGUGUACCCAGAGCCAUCUUAGUGUGUUUAAGGAGGCUGUCCCACCUGCUGAGGGGGGCCUCAGCCAUGGUGGAAGGAGAGAGUGAGAAAACCUGAAAGGGGUUAUCAAGAUGACUUGGGACCAAGUGCCUGCUGUUCGAUCCCUAGGACCCACUCAGUGGAAAAAAAGAGAACUGACUCCUGCAAGUUGUCCUCUGACCUCUACACAUGCCCUGCGAUGUAUAUGUGCCUGCUCAUAUACACAUACAAAUAAUUUAACAAUAAAUUCUGCAACGUC